rnacentral:lncRNA from 1 species
UUCAGAUUGCAGCCUCCUGCUCCCGACUAGAACUACUGCAGGCUGUGCGAAUUGCAGACACUCCACGGGGGUUUGCAGGAGACACUGGGACGACCCCAGCUUUAAGAUGCUGACGGGCCCUGCAGGGUGUGAACUCCGGUCUGCAGAGACUAAGCUGGCUCGGCUCUCCCUAUUAUCCCUUGUUUCACUUCCGCUCUGGAGCCCCUGUGGAUGCUGCUUUUGCCGGGAUAGCAUAUGGUCACUGAGUGAUACAAACGCUGGGCGGCUUUGCCUCGUCUAAAUCCGCCGUUCUAAAAGAGCAUUUCUUCCUGCCGGGUCAAGCGCCUGCAGCGAUAAGCCACCUCGGCUCCAUUUCUUGAGAUCUAGCCGGGGUGUCUGUCUGGGUUUUUGUCUCCUGGCCGUUGCUGUGGUGGCUGAGAGCUUCUAGCGAUCUGUUUGACCCUCCUGUGCACUGGCCCGUAUGAGGUUGUUCCAGAGAGGGGACGCCUGCCUUGUGAAUUUUUUUUACACAACUUUGGGCAACUGGGCCUGAGGCUUCUCCGUGUGCUCGGCGUUGUGUGUUCACCUCCGACCAGACCCACUCAGGCAAACCACCAGGAACCAGGUCUUAUUCUGUAACGAAACAGAGAACGGGACGACAGUCCAGCAGCCUCCUCUCUGCCUGCCCGCCCCGUGCUCCCAGCUUCAGUCAGUGCUGAGACCUCCUGCCGGGAGGGCAGAUACAUCCUGGCAGGAACCAGGAAGUUCUUCCAACACGCCGCAGUUUGUAGUCCACAACUUGUAGUUCCCACGGCUGCUGUGGAAGCCCACUGGACCUUGGGCUAUUCGUACAAGAGUCCAUCUAUGGAUGCAAAUGUUCUGUUACGUUGUUGGGCAUCCCCACUGUUGCAUCACAAUGACAACCUCUGUUGUGGUGGCGCCCAGAGGCCCCGUUGUGCCUGGUGCUGUACAAAUACAGUGUGAGACAGUGCCUGCCCUGAAGAGCUCCUAGUCCAAAGAGACGAGACGGAUAAAGGACAGAGGUGGGAGAAAGAAGCUCAGAGAGGGAAAGUGACUUGCCGAAUGCAGAGCAGGGAAUAAGGACCCAGGUCUCCUGUGUCCCCAGCUCAUGUCUGGUGCAUGAGACCACACCGGCCUCUUUCAUGUU